GGCACCCCGCCUCUUUCCAGCGCCCCAGCUGGAGAAGGGGCCGGCACCCCCCGCCCAACCGCGAUGCCUAAAGAGGAAGCUGCGUGGCCCCUUGCGUGCUGUGGCUGUUUCUCCCAAUUACAGGAGGCACGUGCGCUUCUGCGUUUUCCCGACAGGCGGCGCUGUUCUAAUGAAGGAUAACCCAGGCUGCUCUCUACAUCUCAAGAGCUUGAGGACCAGCCCAGCUGCAAAGCAUCUGUCAUGUCAUGUUCUGUGAACUCAGAUGCCAUCCUGAGAGUCACCAUUCAUCCCAGCUCCAGCAUCAUUUAAUGAACUUUUACAAAUGUUUCCAUUGGGUACCCCAAGUUCCCCUGAGGAUG
ensembl:lincRNA Gm7932 predicted gene 7932